UAAAAAUUAGGAAUUCACUCCCUUCCUGCGAUUUCACGAUUUCACUCUCAUCGCGGAGAAGUUUCUCCGUCCAUCCCGUCGCGAUUUCAACAUCAACUGAAAACGAGGAUGUCCACGUCGUCGUGUAAUAUGAGCCAUGGGAGUUGGCCAAUACCAAAAGUCAUCGUUUGUAAUCACGGAAUUGAAGCUGAAAUUGUAACAUCGAAGACGGAUGCCAAUCCUGGACGGCGUUUCUAUCGGUGCCAUAUUUGGAAGGAGGAUGACUGCAAGUUCUUCCGCUGGAUUGAUCCAUCUUUGUCAACAAAUCAAGAGAACUAUAUGAACAAAUUGAAGAUGGAGAGAGAUAGCAUGGAAAAGGAAUUGCAAGCAAGAGUUGCUAUGCAGGAUAUGCUAAAGGAGAAAGUCUGUUCGAAGGAAGUUGAAUUUGAAUCACUCCAAAUGGUGGCUGAAAAUUUGCGAAGACAAAACAGGAAAUUGAAGUAUGUCAUUUUGUGUUUAUGUGUCGUGGUCUGGCUUCUUAUAUAGAUUAUAAGAGUCUAGAUUAUGUAGUAUGGAAUUAGGGACUUAUGGUGGCAGAAAAUGUAAUGUUGUGUAAUUGUGGCUGAAAAUUGUGCCAUGCUAUGAUAUUAUUUUGCCGUUUUGGUGUAA